GAUGAACGCUGGCGGCGUGCCUAACACAUGCAAGUCGUACGAGCCCGAUCUUCGGAAAGGGUUAGUGGCGCACGGGUGAGUAACACGUAGGUGACCUACCCCAGAGUGGGGGAUAACUUCUCGAAAGAGAGGCUAAUACCGCAUAUACUCGGUCAUUCGUUUGAUCGAGCAAAGCUCCGGCGCUCUGGGACGGGCCUGCGUCCGAUUAGCUAGUUGGUAGGGUAAUGGCUUACCAAGGCGAUGAUCGGUAGCUGGUCUGAGAGGACGAUCAGCCACACUGGCACUGACACACGGGCCAGACUCCUACGGGAGGCAGCAGUGAGGAAUAUUGGGCAAUGGGCGAAAGCCUGACCCAGCAACGCCGCGUGAGGGAUGAAGGCCUUCGGGUUGUAAACCUCUUUUCUGGGAGAAGAGACAAGGACGGUAUCCCAGGAAUAAGUCUCGGCUAACUACGUGCCAGCCGCCGCGGUAA
rnacentral:rRNA from 1 species